rnacentral:rRNA from 1 species
UACAGAGGGUGCGAGCGUUGUUCGGAAUUAUUGGGCGUAAAGGGCGCGUAGGCGGUGCGGUAAGUCACCUGUGAAAUCUCCUGGCUCAACUGGGAGCUUGCAGGCGAAACUGCCGUGCUGGAGUGUGGGAGAGGUGCGUGGAAUUCCCGGUGUAGCGGUGAAAUGCGCAGAUAUCGGGAAGAACACCCGUGGCGAAGGCGGCACUCUGGGACGGUACUGACGCUGAGACGCGAAAGCGUGGGGAGCGAACAGG